rnacentral:tRNA from 1 species
GGCGGGGUAGCUCAGUUGGUUAGAGCGCGGGACUCAUAAGCCCGAGGUCAGUGGUUCGAUUCCACUUCCCGCUACCA